rnacentral:lncRNA from 1 species
CAGAGAACUGCUCAUUCAGUUUUUGAGGUCACUAUUUCAUUUUAGUGUUAUAAUCCAGUUCAUAUUUCAGUUCUGUAAUAAUAAAUUAUUAUCAAGUGAUGCAUUUCAACAGUAAAUAUUUUAAGUUAAAGAUUUGAGGGAAAACUAUUUACGAUGGGUAGAUAUCAGGAAUAUGAACCUUUCUGAAAGAAAGGACAGCUUAAGCAAAGAUAGGGGGACUAGAAUGGGUUCUGAGAUCUGAGAGGUGAUGAUGCUAGGCAGUGAGUUUGAUUGAAGAUAAUAGAAGAGAUAGCUGGAAAAGUAGUUUGAACUAAGUGGUGAGGGCUUCGAAGGUGGAGUCUAUUUUUUUUCUGAGAGGGAACUGAAAAUGUCUUUAAUUACAGAAUGAGGGACAUAAUCAGAUCUUUCUUUUACAAAUAUCAGUAUUGUGGCAGUUUUGAGUGACUGGUGUAAGAAGCAAGUUAGUUAGCUGGUAUGGCUUGGGGAAGAGAAUAUGAAGACUUUUAAGAGCAUGAGAACAGAAAAAGGUAGAGAGAUUGGAGUUCAGAGAUGAAGCUGAAUCUACAUGAUUUGAUGACGGUUGAGGAAGAGGAAGAAAGCAAAGUUCAAUUAGAUUUUUAUCAUGGGUGACUCUCUGAGUUUCACUCAAAUAGAUGAAAUUACUUGUGAAAGAUUUGUUACUUUUUAAAGACUCAGCAUAUAUUUUCUCUUAUUUUUGAAUUGCUGUUAGAAUUUCUGCUGAAUGUUCUGUGCCUUGUUCAGCUCUGUUUAUGUUAGUGGUACUUCAACUUGUACAUACUAUCAGUAAAAAAGUUCACAAAUAGUAAUUCAUACCUGUCUUAUAGUGCCAUUAUGUUGUAUACAUUAUACAACAUGUAGAAGUGUACAUUUUCAAAGGCUAAGACACGAAUACAUUAGAGUUUUAGUAUUUUUUCCCCCUGCAUUCCAUUGGAUUAUCUUGCACCCUUCUGUAGAGAUGUUGGUCUGAUAUCUAGCUGACGGUGUUCUGUCCCAUUCUCCAGUAGAGGUCACCUUUGAGCGUGGAAGAGAGAACAGGCUGUUGAGCUGUGAAAGGUCGUCUUUAUUCGUGAGUUAGAAGAAGGAUCUUAUUUCUGAAUUUCUAAAUUAAUGCAUUUUUGGAAGAAAUGUUGUUAUAGAAUAGUAUGUGGAGUUAUGGAGAACUGAAGAAUAGUAAGCUCAGUAGAGUUUAGAUUUGUUUUUAUUGUUUGAUGUUUGCUUUGUGAAUGCUUUGCCUUUGAGUUUGAAUGUUAUUUGAGUCUAUAGUUUUAGAAUCUUUUCCUAGUUCUUUUGAGAAUCUGUAGACUAUGUGAGCCACAGAAAUGUUUCUAGCAUGUAGGCACAAUCUAAGUUUUUGUUCAAAUUGGAGUAAUUGAAAAAACACAUACAAAGAGGUUUUCAUUGAAAUUGAUCCUAAAAGCAGUAUGUUAAGCAAGAAUUUUAGUGGUGGGUUGGAAUUAUUUAUCUUUAUUUUCUGUUUUAUGCAUAAUUGAGAGAAGGGGCAAAGGGACAUGCCUCCUGUAAGUAAGAUACCGUUGUAAGGAAUUAGAAAUCAAGAACUAAAUUUGUUUCAGCCAUAUAUUCUAUUUAAAAAAAUACUGCUUAAGCCUAUAUAACAGCUUGUCUCAUGGAAGAGAGAACACUGGAAUAGGUUACACUUUCUUGCUAUAACAGGCUCAAAUUGUAUCAGUUUCAGUAAUCUGUCAUAGAGUGUUGCUUGCAAGCAGCC